rnacentral:rRNA from 1 species
AACGAACGCUGGCGGCAUGCCUAACACAUGCAAGUCGAACGAGACCUUCGGGUCUAGUGGCGCACGGGUGCGUAACGCGUGGGAACCUGCCUUUAGGUUCGGAAUAACAGUGAGAAAUUACUGCUAAUACCGGAUGAUGUCUUCGGACCAAAGAUUUAUCGCCUUUAGAUGGGCCCGCGUUGGAUUAGCUAGUUGGUGGGGUAAAGGCCUACCAAGGCGACGAUCCAUAGCUGGUCUGAGAGGAUGAUCCGCCACACUGGGACUGAGACACGGCCCAGACUCCUACGGGAGGCAGCAGUGGGAAUUUGACAAUGGCGAAAGCUGAUCCAGCCAUGCCGCGUGAGUGAAGAAGGCCUGUGUAG